rnacentral:rRNA from 1 species
UACGUAGGGUGCAAGCGUUGUCCGGAAUUAUUGGGCGUAAAGAGCUCGUAGGCGGUCUGUCGCGUCGGCUGUGAAAACCCGAGGCUCAACCUCGGGCCUGCAGUCGAUACGGGCAAACUAGAGUACUGCAGGGGAGACUGGAAUUCCUGGUGUAGCGGUGAAAUGCGCAGAUAUCAGGAGGAACACCGGUGGCGAAGGCGGGUCUCUGGGCAGUAACUGACGGCUGGAGGAAGCGAAAGCGUGGGGAGCGAACAGG